rnacentral:rRNA from 1 species
GUAAAACUUUCAGCGACGGAUGUCUUGGCUCCCACAACGAUGAAGAACGCAGCGAAAUGCGAUACG